rnacentral:lncRNA from 1 species
UCAGCACUCCAUUGUCAUUGAUUCUUUGUUGUUGUUGUUGACAUACAUCCAUUUGAGGCUUAUGGACAAUGGUUUUCAUCUAAAAAUUUUGAUCGAUCGGUAACGUUGACCGCGACACGCCGUUCUGAUUUGACUAAUGAUCGACGACAACAGAAUCAUUGUCGUCCGUCCGAUUCAACGACCCGUUCUCACCCACGGCUAUGAUUGUUCCUUCUUUCAGCAACUAUGUGCCUAGUACUGGUCCUUUUUUCUCCUUCUUCUUUAAACCUUUCUUUCCCAAUUUAGGUUCUGUGAAAAAGCCAACACGGAAAAGAAAAAGAUCAGUCAUUUCAAUCCUAAUUUAUCAAGUUGGAGUUUUAAUAUCAUAAUUUCCACCAAACAGAAUUAUCAGAAAAAGAAAAAUGAAAAUCGAUAUUUGUACCUGCUGGGUCUAGAGGGCGGUGCAGGUGAUUGAGGAAAACCCUAAGACUAAGGAAGGGAUUAUUUAGAAAUUUACCGACUAUUUGCGCCGGGCGGAGAAGAUCCGAGCUGCGUUGGAUGAGGGUGGGACCGGGCCAGGUCAGAAUGGAGGGGAUGCGGCUGUGGCGACAAGACGAAGAUGAAAACCAAGGAUGGCGAAGAUGGGGAGGAUUCUAAGGCUAUCCUUUUAAUUAGUUUUAGGCUAUAAAAUGCAUACUACAAUUUUGUAGCUAGGGGUUGAUAUUAGUUUCUACUGACCGGCCAUAAAUGAAGUUUGCUCUUAUUUAUCUCACUAUAACCCAUUGGGCUGAUCGGUAGGCCCAAUUUAGAUUUCCCAUUCAAACGGGU